rnacentral:rRNA from 1 species
GAUGAACGCUGGCGGCGUGCCUAACACAUUCAAGUCGAACGGUGACGGGGACUUCGGUCCCCCGAUCAGUGGCGGACGGGUGAGUAACGCGUGAGCAACCUGCCUCUGCGUGGGGGAUAACGAUUGGAAACGAUCGCUAAUACCGCAUAAUGUAAUUUCUUGGCAUCUUGAAAUUACCAAAGAUUUAUUGCGCAGAGAUGGGCUCGCGUCUGAUUAGAUAGUUGGUGGGGUAACGGCCUACCAAGUCGACGAUCAGUAGCCGGACUGAGAGGUUGAACGGCCACAUUGGAACUGAGAAACGGUCCAGACUCCUACGGGAGGCAGCAGUGGGGAAUAUUGGGCAAUGGGCGAAAGCCUGACCCAGCGACGCCGCGUGCGGGAAGAAGGUCUUCGGAUUGUAAACCGCUGUUGAUAGGGAAGAAGAAGUGACGGUACCUCUUGAAUAAGCCACGGCUAACUACGUG